rnacentral:rRNA from 1 species
UGGAGGCAGCAGUGAGGAAUAUUGUGCAAUGGGCGAAAGCCUGACACAGCGACGCCGCGUGGGCGACGAAGGCCUUCGGGUCGUAAAGCCCUUUUGGCAGGGACGAGUGAGGACGGUACCUGUCGAAUAAGUCUCGGCUAACUACGUGCCAGCAGCCGCGGUAAAACGUAGGAGGCGAGCGUUAUCCGGAUUCACUGGGCGUAAAGCGCGCGUAGGCGGUUGGGUAAGUCGGACGUGAAAGCCCCUGGCUCAACUGGGGGAGGUCGUUCGAUACUGCCCGGCUUGAGGGUGAGAGAGGGGAGUGGAAUUCCCGGUGUAGCGGUGGAAUGCGUAGAGAUCGGGAGGAACACCAGUGGCGAAGGCGACUCUCUGGCUCACCCCUGACGCUGAUAGCGCGAAAGCGUGGGUAGCAAACGGGAUUAGAUACCCGAGUA